UACGUAGGGGGCAAGCGUUGUCCGGAUUUAUUGGGUUUAAAGGGUGCGUAGGCGGCCUAUUAAGUCAGUGGUGAAAUAUUUCAGCUCAACUGGAAUUGUGCCAUUGAUACUGAUGGGCUUGAGUACAGAUGAGGUAGGCGGAAUUGACGGUGUAGCGGUGAAAUGCUUAGAUAUGACAUAGAACACCAAUUGCGAAGGCAGCUCACUAAGCAAAUAUUGACGCUGAGGCACGAAAGCGUGGGGAGCAAACAGG
rnacentral:rRNA from 1 species